UACGAAGGGGGCUAGCGUUGCUCGGAAUUACUGGGCGUAAAGGGCGCGUAGGCGGAUAUUUAAGUCGGGGGUGAAAGCCCGGGGCUCAACCUCGGAAUUGCCUUCGAUACUGGAUAUCUUGAGUUCGGGAGAGGUGAGUGGAAUGCCGAGUGUAGAGGUGAAAUUCGUAGAUAUUCGGAGGAACACCAGUGGCGAAGGCGGCUCACUGGCCCGGUACUGACGCUGAGAUACGAAAGCGUGGGGAGCAAACAGG
rnacentral:rRNA from 1 species